UACAGAGGUCUCAAGCGUUGUUCGGAUUCAUUGGGCGUAAAGGGUGUGUAGGUGGCGCGCUAAGUCGGGUGUGAAAUUUCGGAGCUUAACUCCGAAACUGCAUUCGAUACUGGCGUGCUUGAGGACUGGAGAGGAGACUGGAAUUUACGGUGUAGCAGUGAAAUGCGUAGAUAUCGUAAGGAAGACCAGUGGCGAAGGCGGGUCUCUGGACAGUUCCUGACACUGAGACACGAAGGCUAGGGGAGCAAACGGG
rnacentral:rRNA from 1 species